rnacentral:lncRNA from 1 species
CCGCCCUCCAACGGGAUUCCCCGUCCCGAGGCCCGCCCCCGCCGCUCCUCCUCCGGGACACACUGCCCUCCCCGCAGCAGACACGGUCCUCGCCCGGGACUCUGUCGCCCCGUCGACCCCGUUCCCUCAGCCCUCGGAACCAGGAGUGGGCGCCCCGCUAACCCCGGCCAGAUGGGUCUUUGUCCUAUAAAUUCGUGGAAAAACCAUUGGCACGUGGUCAGCUACUGGACCUUCGAAAAACAGUACCAGCACCUCUGCCCCACUCGGCCCAGCCCCACCCGCAGGCAGUUAAUAGGAGAAAGGAGUAACUGUGUCCCUCCUGGCUUUCGGUUGUGCAUCUUGCUCUUAAAUCCGAGGCCUCUGGGGCUGAAUGAAACUGGACAAAGUGUGCUGAGUAGCCUAACAGGGAUGGUUCUUUUUCUGAAAGUUCCCUAUUGCGGAAAAAUAAAAUUAUGUGUUUAAUUUAUGAAACCUGAUGCCUGAUUUGCCUUGGCAGCCAUUCUCCUGGGCUUGGCCAAGAGUCCAGCAACACUAGUAUACUGAUUAAUACCAGCUCAGCUUUCUGGAGAAGAGCAUUAUUUACUUGACCAUUUUCUUAAAUCCCUUUUAAUUUGGGUGUAUCUUAACAUGAUCUUAUUGGCUUUAACAUGCUGUAUCUCUGACCACUGGCCCCAGAGAAGCCUCAGGGAAAACUCUUCUGCUCUGUGCACUUGCCUCGCCAUCACAAAGCAAGAUUUUGUUCCAUCCGGUGAUUAGAAACGUCAUGUCACAUGUUCUGUUCCUUCUGGGACAGGCAAGUUCUAAGUGUACUUUUGUCCCCUGCUGGUCCUCAGGCCACUAGUAGAAAGGGAAGGAGACGAUGCUUCCCAGAAUUCAAACAGAGCUUUCUGCAAGAUUCCAUCCUCCCUUCCAGCUUUCCUCCUCCCCUCCUCCCUUCCAGCCCCCUUUGGAUGGUGACACCUCGGCUCAUUCCGCCCCUCCCUUGAAAAGCCCACAGGAUAUCAAAUAGCGUUUCUCUGAGGGGACACAAAGGACCGAGGAAAGGUUGGGCCCCAGACAGUCCCUGACAGGGAAGUGUAAACACAGCUGCGGAGAUGGCAGAAAGCACCCUCCCUCCUCCCCCAUUUCCCACCCAGAAGCAGGGAAGGGCCACCCUGCUGUGGAGAAACAAACAAGAAAACAAAGCAAAGCACAACCUAAAAGCCUGCAUGAAGGUCACCAGGAACUGGGGCUGCUGCCCAGGCCUUGGUGGGGCCAGCUUGCGUGCCAGGCCCCUCCCUGAAACACUUCGAGGCAAAGGCAGCUCCAGAGCAAGUUAAGGUCUGGACACCACUGAGCCUGGAAACAUGGCCCAAUUUUGGAAGCCUCUCCACCCCCGGACAUUGUGUCCUCUGAUCUCAAAAUCCCAGCUUUCCGCCUCAGGUACUUAGCUCCUGACCCCUGGUUGCUUAGGGAUCAUAAUAAUGCAUUCAAUUCAGCAAGCAAGAACAGGCCCACAAUAAACCCUUGUCCGUGGCUGUUAGAAGUUUAAAC